rnacentral:rRNA from 1 species
GAUGAACGCUGGCGGCGUGCCUAAUACAUGCAAGUCGAGCGAACAGACGAGGAGCUUGCUCCUCUGACGUUAGCGGCGGACGGGUGAGUAACACGUGGAUAACCUACCUAUAAGACUGGGAUAACUUCGGGAAACCGGAGCUAAUACCGGAUAAUAUAUUGAACCGCAUGGUUCAAUAGUUAAAGACGGUUUUGCUGUCACUUAUAGAUGUAUCCGCGCCGCAUUAGCUAGUUGGUAAGGUAACGGCUUACCAAGGCAACGAUGCGUAGCCGACCUGAGAGGGUGAUCGGCCACACUGGAACUGAGACACGGUCCAGACUCCUACGGGAGGCAGCAGUAGGGAAUCUUCCGCAAUGGGCGAAAGCUUGACGGAGCAACGCCGCGUGAGUGAUGAAGGUCUUCGGAUCGUAAAACUCUGUUAUUAGGGAAGAACAAAUGUGUAAGUAACUAUGCACGUCUUGACGGUACCUAAUCAGAAAGCCACGGCUAACUACGUG